rnacentral:tRNA from 8 species
GGUUUGGUGGUCUAGUGGUAUGAUUCUCGCUUAGGGUACACCCUUUGCAAUAGCAUGCGAGAGGUCCCGGGUUCAAUCCCCGGCCAAACCC